GUGGCAGGUGUUUAGAGCUAUAUUGAGCCCGUGAUAAAACAAUUGUACAGCGGAACGAUGAUCUAAGAUGGCGCCGAUCCUUGGGUCGGUGCCGCAAGUUUUACGGCAAGCAGAGACUUUGAAAGCCGCUUUGAAAAGUAGUGACGAUGAUUUCACUGUUGGAAGUGAAGGAUGGCAGUCCAGACAAAGGUUACAGGAUCUGUACAAGAGCAUCCUCUUAACUGACCUAGAAUCAGGGUUGGACAAAAAAGUUGAGCAAGAUCU